GGAGAGAUGGCCGAGUUGGUUAUGGCGUCAGGUUAAGGCUUCAGUCUUGACACCACGUUUCCUGAUGGGGCAACCCGCGUGGGUUCGAAUCCCACUCUCUUCA
rfam:Fonsecaea pedrosoi CBS 271.37 unplaced genomic scaffold supercont1.1, whole genome shotgun sequence.